UAGGGAAUCUUCCGCAAUGGGCGAAAGCCUGACGGAGCAACGCCGCGUGAGUGAUGAAGGUCUUCGGAUCGUAAAACUCUGUUAUUAGGGAAGAACAAAUGUGUAAGUAACUAUGCACGUCUUGACGGUACCUAAUCAGAAAGCCACGGCUAACUACGUGCCAGCAGCCGCGGUAAUACGUAGGUGGCAAGCGUUAUCCGUAAUUAUUGGGCGUAAAGCGCGCGUAGGCGGUUUUUUAAGUCUGAUGUGAAAGCCCACGGCUCAACCGUGGAGGGUCAUUGGAAACUGGAAAACUUUAGUGCAGAAGAGGAAAGUGGAAUUCCAUGUGUAGCGGUGAAAUGCGCAGAGAUAUGGAGGAACACCAGUGGCGAAGGCGACUUUCUGGUCUGUAACUGACGCUGAUGUGCGAAAGCGUGGGGAUCAAACAGG
rnacentral:rRNA from 1 species